rnacentral:rRNA from 1 species
CCUACGGGAGGCAGCAGUGAGGAAUAUUGGUCAAUGGACGAGAGUCUGAACCAGCCAAGUAGCGUGAAGGAUGACUGCCCUAUGGGUUGUAAACUUCUUUUAUAUGGGAAUAAAAUGUUCCACGUGUGGGAUUUUGUAUGUACCAUAUGAAUAAGGAUCGGCUAACUCCGCGCCAGCAGCCGCGGUAAUACGGAGGAUGCGAGCGUUAUCCGGAUUUAUUGGGUUUAAAGGGAGCGUAGGUGGAUUGUUAAGUCAGUUGUGAAAGUUUGCGGCUCAACCGUAAAAUUGCAUUUGAAACUGGCAGUCUUGAGUACAGUAGAGGUGAGCGGAAUUCGUGGUGUAGCGGUGAAAUGCGUAGAUAUCACGAAGAACUCCGAUUGCGAAGGCAGUUCACUGGACUGCAACUGACACUGAGGCUCGAAAGUGUGGGUAUCAAACAGGAUUAGAUACCCUGGUAGUC